GCGAGUCUAGGGCUCCAGGCUACGGUGGGGCCCGGCGCACGGCUGAGUAACACGUAGCUAACCUACCCUCAGGAAGGGGAUAACCCCGGGAAACUGGGGUUAAACCCCUAUAGGCGAGGACUCCUGGAAUCGGGUCCUCGCUGAAAGGGCUUCUAGACCAUGCCUCUAGAAGCCGCCUGAGGAUGGGGCUGCGGCCCAUCAGGUAGUUGGCGGGGUAACGGCCCGCCAAGCCUAUAACGGGUAGGGGCCGUGAGAGCGGGAGCCCCCAGAUGGGCCCUGAGACAAGGGCCCAGGCCCUACGGGGCGCAGCAGGCGCGAAAACUCCGCUAUGCGCGAAAGCGCGACGGGGUUACCCCGAGUGCCUCCCGCUGAGGGGGGCUUUUCCCCAGUGUAAACAGCUGGGGGAAUAAGGGGAGGGCAAGCCUGGUGUCAGCCGCCGCGGUAAUACCAGCUCCCCGAGUGGUCGGGACGAUUAUUGGGCCUAAAGCGUCCGUAGCCGGCCUGGUAAGUCCCCUGUUAAAUCCAGCGAUCCAAUCGCUGGACUGCAGGGGAUACUGCCAGGCUAGGGGGUGGGAGAGGCCGA
rnacentral:rRNA from 1 species